rnacentral:lncRNA from 1 species
CUGCGAGCCAUCAGUCAGGAACAGCUUCACCCUCUUAGAGGUGAUGCUGGUGCUACUGGCCAAGGAUCACAUUUGGAGAACCACAGAAGUAUUCUCCAGACCCACAGGCCACCCCGAAGCUCAGAGGCUAUAAGUCUGUCUGAUCUCUGCAUCCUCCACCUCCCCAGUCCCCAUGGAGAGUUGAGAGGAACUCCUGCUCUGGCCAAAAUGGAGCUGAUGGUUUACACAGAAACAUCCAGGAGUAUGUGCAUUUCAGAAAAUAAGGGCAACCUGAGAAAUUCCCUUGCCCCAAACACACAAACCACCCAAACCAGAAACAGUGUUCAUCCUCCACUCGUCUCUAGAGUGUCCACUUCAGGAGCGCAGGGGCUGGGCCUGGGCCAGGAUCUCCAGCCCCUGCAACUGUGGGAACCCUCCAGGCCAAGUUCAGAUGCUCCCUCCUCCAUGAGGCCUGCGGUGGCUCCCACUUCUCAGGAUGCACUGAUGGCUCCCUCCUGGGUAUGGGUCCCAAUAUCCCUGCUGUAAGCACUCGUGUGUGUACGGAAAUCUUGUGCCACCUCCUACUGGGUGCUCUCUUAAGGCAAGGGCCACUUCUUCAUGUCCCACAGAAUCCAGCACAAAAUAGAUGCUCUGAGAGUUUCACUUUAGAAGUCCAAUCAAGGAUCAAAUAAACUUUAAAG